CCAAAGUCAGAUACUUAACCAAUUGAGCCAUACAGGCACCCCUUCAAUUCAAUAUUUUUAAUGUGCUCUACAACCACCUAAAAUCUUCAGUAGAAGUACACAAUUCUCCAGGAAAAAAGGCACCAGUGUGUGAUAAGUUAGCAUACCAGUCUAUGCACAGACAUUUCAGGCAGGAUAAGAGGAUUUUCAUCUUAAAGACUAAAAUAUAUAUAUUCUUUACUAUUAUGGAAAACCAAAGCACAAGGCAUCGCAAAUUUUAACAGUAUACAGACAGCCAAGGCAAUCCAAGGAGGAUCCCAUUAAAUGCUGGUAUAAUUGAAGAUCAAUAAAGAGUCCAAUGUGACUUACAGGAAAAUAUAUGGAGAACACUCAGAGUUCUGCCAGGGCAUCUGCUCCAGGAUGAGGGGGAACAACAUGGAAAUGAAUAAAGGCAGUGCCCCGGGUGGGGUGUCCAUGCAUCUGAAAGACAGAUCUGAGGGAAAGUGUGACACGAAGGCAAACAUGUGAGUAAUAGAAGACAAAAAAUACUGAAGAGCUUCUUGUACUACAAAUGUCUUCUGUUCAGCUGAGCAUCCCCUGAUAAAUCAGGGUGUGAUUUCAUCGUCAUAAAACUAUGUAAAUCUUAGCCGAGAAGAAAAGAGAUGAGUACCAAGACUGCCAAGAGUGAUGAGCAUGUAUUUUUCAGGGGUUUGGCAGUGCACAACUUGACAGCUCUGAAGAUUUUUAAAAAGCAGUUGAGAAUUUCUGGCUGUAGAUAAUUGACAAUUUUCCUUGUGUUACUGAGAAAUCAGAUAUGGCAGAUGGGAAGCUUGAAGGGAACGGGACAGAGGUGUAUAGCAUGUUGACUUGACAAUUCUCUACAUUACUUAAUGACCACCACAAUAAUGUUAUGGGCAGUCUUGAGGCUGCACAUGGACAUUUCAAGAUUUGCAGAGCGAUUACUCUUCCUCUGCACACGUGGCCAGGACUGCCAUGAGAGAGAGCAGAGAGUUCCAUGAGGAAUUGACCUUCACAUUUGAUGGGAUGAGGAAGAUGACUCUUGGAAGUUUGAAGAAAUUUUCUGGAACUGGGGUUCACUUUGUUGUGAACAAAAGCCCAAACAUUUUCACUGCACCACAUUCUGAGCCUUUUACCAUUCCAUAUACAUCUAUUUUAUUCACUCUUUUAGAGAUUUAAGAUAAAUGGAGUUAUUAUUUUAAAGUAUUAUACAACAAGUUAACUACUUUAAUUGGAGUGGAGAGUAUCAAAAAGUGCAAUGGAUUCAUGUGAGGGAAAAUAUGUGUAAAUCCUGCAUCUGUGUUUUUUGAUCUUAUGGGUGGUAGAAUGUAGCCUGGAAAGCAAAUUCUAGAGUCAGAGAGCUCUAGGUUAACAUCCGUGUUCUGCCGUUUACUUCUUAGCUUGCAAAUUUAGGCAAAAUACUUCUUCCAUUUGACCUUCAGUUAUGUUAGUGCAAUAAGAACAAUAAAACAAAGUUACAUGAAGCAACAGGAUUGAGGUUCAGAAUAUAUACUGAUUGGUAAGGCACAGGGCACUCAGUGAUCAGAACCAGCAGAAAUCACCAGUCAUGCUUAUAGUUAUGUAUAGGGACCAUUUUUCCCACUUUGCCCAUAGAUUUCUUGCCUAUCUUCUCCAUUUGUGGCAGUGUGAAAAAUCAGAGGUGCAGUCAAGGUUGAGAGAGAUAACAACUUAGGAGUGCAAUGAUUACAGUCAGAAUUCCUCUGAAUUCAAGAGGAAACAUGGUUGGAAGAUGUGUCAUUCUACUUUUACACUAUGAAGUUCCAAAUGGUAAGUUUAACGUAGCCAUAAAAUGAACUAUCAUUUACAUUUUCUCAUAUACUCAGUAAGGCUUGGAUUUGACAUACUGUUUUAGGGUAACUCUUACUCAGUUGGACACAAGAUGAUGAAUCUUCACAGGCUCAUGUGAGGUCUGGUGAUGUAUCAAUGAAGAUUUAACAAUGGUAAAGAAAAGUAACAUGCA